rnacentral:lncRNA from 1 species
CUCCUAGCUUGGUGGGCACCUAACUCUUCAAGUCCUGCUCUGGCAAUUCCUUCCCGUUCCUCCUCCCGCUCCAGUUUCUGUCACAGAGCCAGCCUGAAAACAGGAGGGGGCUGAUUUUUGCCAGCUGCAGAAAAUUUACAUUUGAAAUUCUUGGAACUCUUGAGAGGGCCUGGGGCGACUGUUAUUCCCCCUGGCGCUGCCCCUGCAGCUGCUGAUCCCUGCUGCUGCUGUUGCUGUUGUUGCUGCUGCUGCUGCUGCUUCUGCUGCUCCCCACUGCUGCUGGCUCCCUCUGUUGUGUUUGCUGCUUUUGCUAUUGCUGGACUGCUGGGUUGCUGUUUGCUGGUUUGCUGCUUGGAGAUAUCCUGACGAAGAUUGGACUUCCUCCUAGAAACUCGAUGGCCCUAAGUAAUGGGUGAAUCAUGGAUAGGUUCACAACGCUGUGCCUCAGACAUGGAGAACGGGCGACUUGGAAGAGCUAAUCAAGGAGAGCAUGCAGGGAAGGAAUGUUUGCUGGUAUGUUUCGGAGUUUGAAAAACUAUACAUUCAAGUCUGAAAGAGAUGUUGGAGUAGGCACAAAAAUCAAUACAAAAUACUAAGC